rnacentral:lncRNA from 1 species
AAAUAACAUUUAUUUUUCAUUCGUCAGUGAUUAACUUUGAACUCUCCUAGAACAAACAGUAUCGUGAUCAGAGUGAAUAAAAAAAUAUAGAUGAUCAAAUAAAAUAUUAGGUUAUACAAAGUUAGUUUUUUAAACAAAAGAUUCAUUGUCCACCAACAUUUUCAGACCUUGAAAAUCUGGAAAACAAUUUUUGUGGGAUUUAGAAAACAAGUAUUUCCAACAGUUAAACGUGAAGAGGACACACUGGACCUGGUUUUCAGAGGCCCACUGGAGGAAGCAAGGGGGACAGACACUCACCGGAUGGAGCUCUGAGAACCACCGUAUAUACAAAUAUUCUGUACACACAGAGAAGCCACCCAAGGGAAACCACCUCUGGUGGUGUAUGGGCUCGUAUUUUAAAAAGAAUGAAAACUCACUUUCCUAUGCUCAUAAUCAUUUUCCAUUUGAUCCAGUAUCCAUAAUGGUGUCUCUACUACAUAUAUUAAUAUCUCUUUAGUAACCGAGAGAUAGCCCUACUUUAAAUUAUGCCAAGGGAAAUCAAGAUCUUCACUGAAGGGAUACACUUAGCUGCUUGAUGUCGGCUGAAGUGACACUCCACCCCACGCAAGGAUAGGGUUGAGCAGCCAGCCCUUGGGGGUGAGCUAGGGUCUGGGCUACAGAGGCAGCCUGAGGAUCCUUACAAGGUUACUGCAUAGCUUCUCACGGGAGUAGGGGUAGGGUGUUGGUCUCAUCCCUCCACAUCGGCCAACUCACAUCGGCCAAGCAAAUGAAUGUAAGUCAUUUGGCACAACAGGAAAGAGUGUCAGGGCAAGACUGAGGCUAUCUGAAAGGAUGACAUGGUGGAUUCCCAACCCCAAAAAAACAAUCCAGACUGUGUCUGACUUGGCUCCAUUCCCACUGUGCUCUGAGAUACUUCAGUCCUCUGGUCCCAUGGCUAGAACGGACCCCUUUCCAAGCAAAGCCAAUCACUCUGAGGUGAAGCAUCCCAGGGCCCGGAGGAGGUAAUCGGCAGGCACAGCAGAUGUAGAAGAGAAGCAGGAGGAUAGCCACCUCCUCCCAGGAUUCACUGCACGAUCCCAGAGUCCACUGAGGUCUGCUUUCGGGUCGUCUUCGGAGGGGGAGGAGGUGGUGUUUUGCUGGGCAGUGGAGGUGGCUAUCCCACUUACCCGCUGUGGGGGAGGAGGAGGAGAUGUGGGUGAGCCCAUCAAAUCCUGGUUUUCCAUCAGAUUUCCAUAAUCUGCCAUGUUGCCUUUGAGGGGCAGAGGGGGUGGGACAUCGGCCACAUCC